GACGUAGGAGGCGAGCGUUUAUCCGGAUUCACUGGGCGUAAAGCGCAUGUAGGCGGCUGGACAAGUCGUGUGUUAAAGCCCCUGGCUCAACUGGGGGAGGUCAUGCGAGACUGUACGGCUGGAGGGCAACAGAGGCACGUGGAACUCCCGGUGUAGCGGUGGAAUGCGUAGAGAUCGGGAAGAACACCAGUGGCGAAGGCGACGUGCUGGGUUGCACCUGACGCUGAGAUGCGAAAGUGUGGGGGAGCAAACGGG
rnacentral:rRNA from 1 species